AGAGUUUGAUCCUGGCUCAGGAUGAACGCUGGCGGCGUGCUUAACACAUGCAAGUCGAACGAAGCACUCUAUUUGAUUUCCUUCGGGAUUGAUUAUUUUGUGACUGAGUGGCGGACGGGUGAGUAACGCGUGGGUAACCUGCCUCAUACAGGGGGAUAACAGUUGGAAACGACUGCUAAUACCGCAUAAGCGCACAGUACCGCAUGGUACGGUGUGAAAAACUCCGGUGGUAUGAGAUGGACCCGCGUCUGAUUAGCUAGUUGGUGGGGCAACGGCCUACCAAGGCGACGAUCAGUAGCCGACCUGAGAGGGUGACCGGCCACAUUGGGACUGAGACACGGCCCAAACUCCUACGGGAGGCAGCAGUGGGGAAUAUUGCACAAUGGGCGAAAGCCUGAUGCAGCGACGCCGCGUGAGCGAAGAAGUAUUUCGGUAUGUAAAGCUCUAUCAGCAGGGAAGAAUAAUGACGGUACCUGACUAAGAAGCACCGGCUAAAUACGUGCCAGCAGCCGCGGUAAUACGUAUGGUGCAAGCGUUAUCCGGAUUUACUGGGUGUAAAGGGAGCGCAGGCGGUGCGGCAAGUCUGAUGUGAAAGCCCGGGGCUCAACCCCGGUACUGCAUUGGAAACUGUCGUACUAGAGUGUCGGAGGGGUAAGCGGAAUUCCUAGUGUAGCGGUGAAAUGCGUAGAUAUUAGGAGGAACACCAGUGGCGAGGGCGGCUUGCUGGACGACAACUGACGCUGAGGCGCGAAAGCGUGGGGAGCAAACAGGAUUAGAUACCCUGGUAGUCCACGCUGUAAACGAUGAAUACUAGGUGUGGGAGGACUGACCCCUUCCGUGCCGCAGUUAACACAAUAAGUAUUCCACCUGGGGAGUACGACCGCAAGGUUGAAACUCAAAGGAAUUGACGGGGGCCCGCACAAGCGGUGGAUUAUGUGGUUUAAUUCGACGCAACGCGAAGAACCUUACCAGGGCUUGACAUCCUACUAACGAAGUAGAGAUACAUUAGGUACCCUUCGGGGGAAGUAGAGACAGGUGGUGCAUGGUUGUCGUCAGCUCGUGUCGUGAGAUGUUGGGUUAAGUCCCGCAACGAGCGCAACCCCUAUUGUUAGUUGCUACGCAAGAGCACUCUAGCGAGACUGCCGUUGACAAAACGGAGGAAGGCGGGGACGACGUCAAAUCAUCAUGCCCCUUAUGUCCUGGGCUACACACGUAAUACAAUGGCCGUCAACAGAGGGAAGCAAAGCCGCGAGGUGGAGCAAAUCCCUAAAAACGGUCUCAGUUCAGACUGCAGGCUGCAACCCGCCUGCACGAAGUUGGAAUUGCUAGUAAUCGCGGAUCAGCAUGCCGCGGUGAAUAUGUUCCCGGGCUUUGCACUCACCGCCCGUCA
rnacentral:rRNA from 1 species